rnacentral:rRNA from 1 species
GGUUAAGCGACUAAGCGUACACGGUGGAUGCCCUGGCAGUCAGAGGCGAUGAAGGACGUGCUAAUCUGCGAUAAGCGCCGGUAAGGUGAUAUGAACCGUUAUAACCGGCGAUUUCCGAAUGGGGAAACCCAGUGUGAUUCGUCACACUAUCAUUAACUGAAUCCAUAGGUUAAUGAGGCGAACCGGGGGAACUGAAACAUCUAAGUACCCCGAGGAAAAGAAAUCAACCGAGAUUCCCCCAGUAGCGGCGAGCGAACGGGGAGGAGCCCAGAGCCUGAAUCAGCAUGUGUGUUAGUGGAAGCGUCUGGAAAGGUGCGCGAUACAGGGUGACAGCCCCGUACACAAAAGCGCAUGUGCUGUGAGCUCGAUGAGUAGGGCGGGACACGUGGUAUCCUGUCUGAAUAUGGGGGGACCAUCCUCCAAGGCUAAAUACUCCUGACUGACCGAUAGUGAACCAGUACCGUGAGGGAAAGGCGAAAAGAACCCCGGCGAGGGGAGUGAAAAAGAACCUGAAACCGUGUACGUACAAGCAGUGGGAGCACAGGUUUACCUGUGUGACUGCGUACCUUUUGUAUAAUGGGUCAGCGACUUAUAUUCUGUAGCAAGGUUAACCGAAUAGGGGAGCCGGAGGGAAACCGAGUCUUAAUUGGGCGUUAAGUUGCAGGGUAUAGACCCGAAACCCGGUGAUCUAGCCAUGGGCAGGUUGAAGGUUGGGUAACACUAACUGGAGGACCGAACCGACUAAUGUUGAAAAAUUAGCGGAUGACCUGUGGCUGGGGGUGAAAGGCCAAUCAAACCGGGAGAUAGCUGGUUCUCCCCGAAAGCUAUUUAGGUAGCGCCUCGUGAAUUCAUCUCCGGGGGUAGAGCACUGUUUCGGCUAGGGGGCCAUCCCGGCUUACCAACCCGAUGCAAACUGCGAAUACCGGAGAAUGUUAUCACGGGAGACACACGGCGGGUGCUAACGUCCGUCGUGAAGAGGGAAACAACCCAGACCGCCAGCUAAGGUCCCAAAGUCAUGGUUAAGUGGGAAACGAUGUGGGAAGGCCCAGACAGCCAGGAUGUUGGCUUAGAAGCAGCCAUCAUUUAAAGAAAGCGUAAUAGCUCACUGGUCGAGUCGGCCUGCGCGGAAGAUGUAACGGGGCUAAACCAUGCACCGAAGCUGCGGCAGCGAACGUAUCACCCAAGACAACUUUACGGAGUUGACGAUUGACGGAGCGAAGCGACGUCAAAGCGUUCAUUAAAGUCGAGUUGGCUUAGGGAUACGUUCGUUGGGUAGGGGAGCGUUCUGUAAGCCUGUGAAGGUGUGUCGUGAGGCAUGCUGGAGGUAUCAGAAGUGCGAAUGCUGACAUAAGUAACGAUAAAGCGGGUGAAAAGCCCGCUCGCCGGAAGACCAAGGGUUCCUGUCCAACGUUAAUCGGGGCAGGGUGAGUCGACCCCUAAGGCGAGGCCGAAAGGCGUAGUCGAUGGGAAACGGGUUAAUAUUCCCGUACUUGGUGUUACUGCGAAGGGGGGACGGAGAAGGCUAUGUUGGCCGGGCGACGGUUGUCCCGGUUUAAGCGUGUAGGUGUGUGUUCCAGGUAAAUCCGGUUCACUUUAACACUGAGGCGUGACGACGAGGCACUACGGUGCUGAAGCAACAAAUGCCCUGCUUCCAGGAAAAGCCUCUAAGCAUCAGGUAACAUCAAAUCGUACCCCAAACCGACACAGGUGGUCAGGUAGAGAAUACCAAGGCGCUUGAGAGAACUCGGGUGAAGGAACUAGGCAAAAUGGUGCCGUAACUUCGGGAGAAGGCACGCUGACACGUAGGUGAAGUGAUUUACUCAUGGAGCUGAAGUCAGUCGAAGAUACCAGCUGGCUGCAACUGUUUAUUAAAAACACAGCACUGUGCAAACACGAAAGUGGACGUAUACGGUGUGACGCCUGCCCGGUGCCGGAAGGUUAAUUGAUGGGGUCAGCGCAAGCGAAGCUCCUGAUCGAAGCCCCGGUAAACGGCGGCCGUAACUAUAACGGUCCUAAGGUAGCGAAAUUCCUUGUCGGGUAAGUUCCGACCUGCACGAAUGGCGUAAUGAUGGCCAGGCUGUCUCCACCCGAGACUCAGUGAAAUUGAACUCGCUGUGAAGAUGCAGUGUACCCGCGGCAAGACGGAAAGACCCCGUGAACCUUUACUAUAGCUUGACACUGAACAUUGAGCCUUGAUGUGUAGGAUAGGUGGGAGGCUUUGAAGUGUGGACGCCAGUCUGCAUGGAGCCGACCUUGAAAUACCACCCUUUAAUGUUUGAUGUUCUAACGUGGACCCGUAAUCCGGGUUGCGGACAGUGUCUGGUGGGUAGUUUGACUGGGGCGGUCUCCUCCUAAAGAGUAACGGAGGAGCACGAAGGUUGGCUAAUCCUGGUCGGACAUCAGGAGGUUAGUGCAAUGGCAUAAGCCAGCUUGACUGCGAGCGUGACGGCGCGAGCAGGUGCGAAAGCAGGUCAUAGUGAUCCGGUGGUUCUGAAUGGAAGGGCCAUCGCUCAACGGAUAAAAGGUACUCCGGGGAUAACAGGCUGAUACCGCCCAAGAGUUCAUAUCGACGGCGGUGUUUGGCACCUCGAUGUCGGCUCAUCACAUCCUGGGGCUGAAGUAGGUCCCAAGGGUAUGGCUGUUCGCCAUUUAAAGUGGUACGCGAGCUGGGUUUAGAACGUCGUGAGACAGUUCGGUCCCUAUCUGCCGUGGGCGCUGGAGAACUGAGGGGGGCUGCUCCUAGUACGAGAGGACCGGAGUGGACGCAUCACUGGUGUUCGGGUUGUCAUGCCAAUGGCACUGCCCGGUAGCUAAAUGCGGAAGAGAUAAGUGCUGAAAGCAUCUAAGCACGAAACUUGCCCCGAGAUGAGUUCUCCCUGAGACUUAGAGUCUCCUGAAGGAACGUUGAAGACGACGACGUUGAUAGGCCGGGUGUGUAAGCGCAGCGAUGCGUUGAGCUAACCGGUACUAAUGAACCGUGAGGCUUAACCUU